rnacentral:rRNA from 1 species
CGGACGGGUGAGUAACGCGUGGGCAACCUGCCCUAUACUGGGGGAUAACACCUGGAAACAGGUGCUAAUACCGCAUAAGCGCGCUGUGCCGCAUGGCGCGGCGCGGAAAACCCCGGUGGUACAGGAUGGGCCCGCGUCUGAUUAGCUGGUUGGCAGGGUAACGGCCUACCAAGGCGACGAUCAGUAGCCGGCCUGAGAGGGUGGACGGCCACACUGGGACUGAGACACGGCCCAGACUCCUACGGGAGGCAGCAG